rnacentral:rRNA from 1 species
UACGGGAGGCAGCAGUAGGGAAUCUUCCACAAUGGGCGCAAGCCUGAUGGAGCAACACCGCGUGAGUGAAGAAGGUUUUCGGCUCGUAAAGCUCUGUUGUUGGAGAAGAACGUGCGUGAGAGUAACUGUUCAUGCAGUGACGGUAAUCAACCAGAAAGUCACGGCGAACUUCGGUCCCAGCA